AUAUAUGUUGGUUCAAGCCUGUAGUCGUGCCCGGUAGGCAAAUCCGCCGGGCUUAGAUGAGGGGUGAUAACGAGUCUGCUUGCAGACGAAGUGAGUGAUACCCUGCUUCCAGGAAAAGCCACUAAGCUUCAGCUACACACGACCGUACCGCAAACCGACACUGGUGCGCGAGAUGAGUAUUCUAAGGCGCUUGAGAGAACUCAGGAGAAGGAACUCGGCAAAUUGAUACCGUAACUUCGGGAGAAGGUAUGCCCCAAGUAGGUGAACUCGAACAGAGGGAGCCCAACGGGGUUGCAAAAAAUCGGUGGCUGCGACUGUUUAAUAAAAACACAGCACUCUGCAAACACGAAAGUGGACGUAUAGGGUGUGACGCCUGCCCGGUGCUGGAAGAUUAAAUGAUGGGGUGCAAGCUCUUGAUUGAAGUCCCAGUAAACGGCGGCCGUAACUAUAACGGUCCUAAGGUAGCGAAAUUCCUUGUCGGGUAAGUUCCGACCUGCACGAAUGGCGUAACGAUGGCCACACUGUCUCCUCCUGAGACUCAGCGAAGUUGAAAUGUUUGUGAUGAUGCAAUCUCCCCGCGGAAAGACGGAAAGACCCCAUGAACCUUUACUGUAGCUUUGUAUUGGACUUUGAACAGAUCUGUGUAGGAUAGGUGGGAGGCUUUGAAGUGAGGACGCUAGUCUUCAUGGAGCCAACGUUGAAAUACCACCCUGGUGUGUUUGAGGUUCUAACCUAGGUCCAUUAUCUGGAUCGGGGACAGUGCAUGGUAGGCAGUUUGACUGGGGCGGUCUCCUCCCAAAGCGUAACGUAGGAGUUCGAAGGUACGCUAGUUACGGUCGGACAUCGUGACGAUAGUGCAAUGGCAUAAGCGUGCUUAACUGCGAGACUGACAAGUCGAGCAGAUGCGAAAGCAGGACAUAGUGAUCCGGUGGUUCUGUAUGGAAGGGCCAUCGCUCAACGGAUAAAAGGUACUCUGGGGAUAACAGGCUGAUACCGCCCAAGAGUUCAUAUCGACGGCGGUGUUUGGCACCUCGAUGUCGGCUCAUCUCAUCCUGGGGCUGUAGCCGGUCCCAAGGGUAUGGCUGUUCGCCAUUUAAAGAGGUACGUGAGCUGGGUUUAAAACGUCGUGAGACAGUUUGGUCCCUAUCUUCCGUGGGCGCUGCAGAUUUGAGGAAGCCUGCUCCUAGUACGAGAGGACCGGAGUGGACACACCUCUGGUGUAUCGGUUGUCACGCCAGUGGCAUUGCCGAGUAGCUAAGUGUGGAAGAGAUAACCGCUGAAAGCAUCUAAGCGGGAAACUCGUUUCAAGAUGAGAUCUGCCGGGGCCUUGAGCCCCCUAAAGAGUCGUUCAAGACCAGGACGUUGAUAGGUCAGGUGUGGAAGCG
rnacentral:rRNA from 1 species